rnacentral:lncRNA from 1 species
UUUUGUGGGAAAAGGUGAACAAAAGAGUUAUGCAGAAACAUUUGAGGGGAUUCCCAUAAAUUCUUGUCAAAGGUAUGACAUUAAUUAUCUCAAAACUCCCUUGACUAUUUCGCCGAGGUGGUCUAUCUCCAGUCCGAGGAUGCUAAACAUUUUCUGUGUGAAUUUUAAACCUUAUGUUGUAGCAUCUAUUAGCUUCAGCAUUUUAUAUUUCUUGACUUACUAAGUAUCAGCUCUUUGUUUUUCCAAAAGUGACUACUUUGACUGGGAUUCUGCUCUGAUCUUAAUACAUUUGAAUAGAGGAUACAAGUGACUCUUGGAUAUCCAUUCCCUGCUAGAUAAGGAAAUAAAAUAUGGUUUCCAAAUUGCUUUCUCCAACAUCGGGAAAGUUUGCAGUGCAUAGCUGACUAGUGGAUUUCGUACCACAUUUCAUAUCCCUCUUGCAACAAUGUCUUACCACCAACUCCUUGUAAUGCUUGUGAGCCUCGAGUACCUCUAAGGCUCUAACAUCAUCAAGCCUUGGAUAUUGUGAACUAUGAAAAAGAAGGUUAUACCAAUUAUUGAUCUACCUCUGUAAUGAUUAGGUAGCAAAUCAGAGGCCAUUACCAAACGCUUAAAAGAUCAGAAAAUUUUCAGUUGAAAUUGUCUCCACUUGUUAGACUGAAACUCGGACUACUUUCCAGAGUGAUUUUCAUUGGAUUAAAGCUAGAUUCUUUGCUAAAUUACUGAUUUUCAGGCAAUUAAGUAGGUAAAAGAGUGAAAUGCCUGGGGCAAUUUAUUUACAAUUUUCUUUAAUAAAUUUAUUUUGAUAUGCUUUUGUUAACUGCAAAAUUCUUGUUAGUAUACAAAUUUAGUACAUUGUUUCCUAAUUCCCUUUACUUAAAGUCAUUUUCUAUUUGCUUAUUUCUUUAGUUUGAUAAGCAACCAUUUUCUGUGGUACCACUUUUUUUCUGCAGAGUUUCUAAAUUUGUCUUUUCUUUUCUGUAUGUAGUGAUAAAAGUUCAUCCCAAAAUGUAUCCAGUUGCAAUGUGGCUUUUCCUCAAACAGCUGAUGAUUUGCCAGCUGAAGUAUCUAGUAAACAUUCAAGAACUUCAGGCAAGUUAUAAUGAUACAGCAUGUAUUAUUGAUCUUAUAAACACACUUUCAUCUGAGUACAUUCUGGAGUUUAUUUGUGUAAUAUUUGCUUGCUAAAUAAAGACUUUAUUUAGCCGGUAGCGGUGAAGAUUGUGAGGAGAAGAUUAAGUAUCAA